UGGGCGUUGCGGGUGCUAUACAUGCAAGUCGAGCGAACUGAUUAGAAGCUUGCUUCUAUGACGUUAGCGGCGGACGGGUGAGUAACACGUGGGCAACCUGCCUGUAAGACUGGGAUAACUCCGGGAAACCGGAGCUAAUACCGGAUAACAUUUUUUCUUGCAUAAGAGAAAAUUGAAAGAUGGUUUCGGCUAUCACUUACAGAUGGGCCCGCGGUGCAUUAGCUAGUUGGUGAGGUAACGGCUCACCAAGGCAACGAUGCAUAGCCGACCUGAGAGGGUGAUCGGCCACACUGGGACUGAGACACGGCCCAGACUCCUACGGGAGGCAGCAGUAGGGAAUCUUCCGCAAUGGACGAAAGUCUGACGGAGCAACGCCGCGUGAGUGAUGAAGGCUUUCGGGUCGUAAAACUCUGUUGUUAGGGAAGAACAAGUACAAGAGUAACUGCUUGUACCUUGACGGUACCUAACCAGAAAGCCACGGCUAACUACGUGCCAGCAGCCGCGGUAAU
rnacentral:rRNA from 2 species